rnacentral:lncRNA from 1 species
ACAGCAAUGAGGGUGCCUUCCCAGGGACUUCCCUGGGGGGUUAGAGAGAGUUCUCCAGGAGUGCAUAGAAAGCAAGGAAGGGGCAAUGGUGCAUGGCAGAAAGCAUGGCUGCCUCUCCCAUGUUACAGGAGCCCCAUACGCUUUCCAGGCACUGGUUCCUGCCGAUGCCAGACUACAUCCACUUCAGAUGUAUUGGUUUCCAAACAUUUCCAGCCAUUUGCUGAGAAUUAGCAUUUCAACGGACAUGCUAUCUGAGACUGACUCCAGAAAUCUCUUAGACUUCAUAAACUUGUAGGAUUGCCUGCAAGAACAUUUGCAGGCCACUUAGAUCUGUCUGGGGUGGUCCCCCCUGCUCCAUGGCACAGCAUUGGGAAGUGGGCCUGACAGCAGCCAGAAACUUGUUUCUCACCUCCCACCAGCAACCUCCACUCAGCCCCAGACCCCAGGCACAUGAAGCACAAGUCUCAGGGGACCGUUCCCAUGCUGUGGGGAGCCCAAGGAAGCCCCCAGCAUCUCUUGCAUACACCACUGGCAGUGUGGGCACAACUGGCCACCAGGAGCACACAUGCCUGGGGAAGAGGGGCCUGCUCUGUUGCCUUCAUCCCUGUUAAAAUUGAGUAUAUGCAAGCCAUUUGCACUACGGAAUUGCAUGCCUUGAAAUUCCUUACUGUGUGCACCUUAGUUUGAAUUUGACGUUAUGUAGCAUGCACAAAAGAAUGGAUGGGCUUGGGCUUGUUCCCAAGUCACCUCUACCGCUCAUUGGGAGCACAGUGCUGCCCUCAGCCAAUCCCAGGUUCCGUGGAGCCCGUGUGGCUCCAGCACUUACUGUGCAGUGGCUCCCUUUCCCACCGUGCUCCCUUUCCCACCGUGCCCACUUAAGCUGAUGGCUCACUAAUUUGCACAAAUGGAAUUGUUAUGAUCACGUCUUAGCAGUAUCUUGAUUUAAAGUAAGCCCAAAGCCCACUUCUGGAGUUCCUUACU